AUGGCUGCACCUCCAACUGUCGCGUGGUUUCCGUAUCCUAGGAAUUUUAGGAACAGAUGGCGAGCACAGAAGACAGUGGCGGCUGUGCUGUGCAUUCAGGGCAAAGGGGAGCGAGUGAAUGAGAAUCGAGCGGAUUCUGGAGAAGCACUGGAGGAAAAGAGAACUGCCGAGACCGAGUCUUCUGCCUGCAAGUGCGACCAGAGACUGCAAGAAAGUUGGAAGAGAAAAAUACCUGAGAAUAGGCAGCGAAAGUCAUCCAUUCACCUGAGCUUGAGCUUUGGGCAGACGAUUCUGUUGCUUCAGGAAACAGGCAGCGUCAAAACGCUUGAGGAUGAAGCGCGUUCCCGUGAACCCAGUUCAGAUGAAUAACCCCGUGCACCCCAUCUGCACCGCGCCGCCAGCGCCCCAGAAGCCUCUCUACUGAGCUGGCGUUUCUCGCUGCGUUCUGGCGCGGCUCCUGAGAUGCUACAUCUGCACCACUACUCUGAGGUUACUUGUAGUUCAUUAAUAUGCAAGAGGGGCCAAGAAAUCAUCGCUGUUGCUGACAGGAGCGUGUGCGUGCCUCUCUGGAAUGCCUCGUUUCUGAAGUGGCCUGGCACCGACACUCCCCUUGUCUUCCUGGAAUCAGCUCCAUCUUGUCAUUACAUAAAGAGUUAAAAAAAUUCCUUUCUGAAAAAUCUCCAGGAAGGUGCAGAGCAUCCUUCUCUUUUCUUUCCUUUCUCUUUUUUUUUAUUGUCAUCCCACUCCCCCCUGCGUGAACACAUCAAAGUAGGAAGUGACAUGCGGUGCCCUGGAGCUCUUAGCAACAUGCUUUUAGGUUGGGAAAUUUCAUUUUCUACCUUAUGAUGAUUACAUGAGGAAAGAUGAAAUGCUUGCUUUGAGGUUUAUUUGAGAAAGAGAUGUAAUAAAUGUUGUGGCUUCCCACUGAAUGGAACAAAUCCAUUCUGGUCAUGUGGGGAUAUUAAAAAUUACAUAUGUGUGUGCAUGGACCCAGCCUGCAUGACUUAUGUGGCAUCUGUGGUCCCAGAUGCUGAGAAAGGAGACCUUGGGUGGCUUCUUUCAGAAAAAUGCUGAAUAAAGUUUUCCAUUUUAUCCAGUUUUGAAUGCAUUUAAUUCCAAACAAAAAUGAGUUCCCGUCCUAUCUGAGCCACAACAAUCUCCUUUAAACCGGUUCCUCAACCCAGAGAAACACACACACACACACACACACACACACAUACGGCUGGAUGUGUCGCACAGACUGACACAGCUUACAGGGUCCCCUUAGCUGCAACCCACAAGCAUGUUGCAGAAUUAAUCCAAUGUCUGUUUUUCAGAGAGUCCAUUUUUCCAAAUAUUGGAACAAGG
rnacentral:lncRNA from 1 species